rnacentral:rRNA from 1 species
GAUGAACGCUGGCGGCGUGCCUAAUACAUGCAAGUCGAGCGAACAGACGAGGAGCUUGCUCCUCUGACGUUAGCGGCGGACGGGUGAGUAACACGUGGAUAACCUACCUAUAAGACUGGGAUAACUUCGGGAAACCGGAGCUAAUACCGGAUAAUAUAUUGAACCGCAUGGUUCAAUAGUGAAAGACGGUUUUGCUGUCACUUAUAGAUGGAUCCGCGCCGCAUUAGCUAGUUGGUAAGGUAACGGCUUACCAAGGCAACGAUGCGUAGCCGACCUGAGAGGGUGAGCGGCCACACUGGAACUGAGAACGGGCCCGGACCCCAAGGGGAGGAACAAGGAGGAAUUCUUCAGAAAGGGGAGAAGGCUGGAGGGAGAACCGCCGGGGGAGUAAAAAAGGUCUGCGGAUCUAAAAACUUUUUUAUUAGGGAAAAAAAAAUGUGUAAGUAACUAGGCACGUCUUGACGGUCCCUAAUCAGAAAGCCACGGCUAGCUACGUC